AAAAGUGCUGGGAUUACAGGCAAGAGCCACCACGCACUUUUAAACAACCAGAUCUCAUGAGAACUCACUCAGUAUCAUGAGAACGGCACCCAGGGAGACGGUGUUAAAGCAUUCAUGAGAAACCGCUCCCAUGAUUCAAUCACCUCCUACCAGGCCCCACACUGGGGAUUAUUAUUUGACAUGAGACUUGGGGGACACAAAUCCAAACCAUAUCAUGGGGGUAGGGGAGAAGGUGCCUGGUUCAAUACAGAGUCUUAAGACUCCACCUCAUUAGUAUUAAUUCAUUUGGUACAAGGAGGGCCUGGUAAUUGGGAUUUUACCCCCUUCCAUCCCAACCAUAGCCAGGUUCCUAUGAACCAAAGAAAGUCACUGACUGUUCUUUGAAUAACAUUAUGCUUUAUCUUUGAUUGUUUAUUGCUUUCGUAGACAGAGAAAGGGCCCUUAAAGUCUCUUGACUCCUCCCACUAAUAGCCUUGUGAAUUUGGGCAAGGCAUGCCAUCUCUCUGCACCGGUUUCACUUGUCAAAUGGGGACAACAACCCCAUCAAUUCUGGCUGUCGUGAGAACUCCCUGGCUUAUAGUGCCUGGCCCAGAGUAAGGCUCAGUAAUUGUGACCACUGCUGCUAUGAUGGCCUUGGAUUCCCGUGUUUGUUCGUUAGGUUCCGAUGCCGGAACUGGCUUUCAGGCCUCUGCUUAAAAGACAAUGACCUUCUGUCUCUUGCAAUGAGUUAGCAUUUACAGUUGAAAUGGGGCUCAGCACCCACCCACGUAGUCAGUCUUCAGCAAACCAGACAUGUUUCUAGAUUUUAUAUACAUAUGAUGUAAGCUCACUCAUUAAGCAAAUAUUCUUUAGCUCAGACUAUGUGUCCUGUGCUGUGCGGCUGCAAGUCAUGGUCCCGCCUGAAGGUAGCCUUGCCCUCAGCUGAACCCUGUCCCCGAGAUGCCUUCUCUACCUAUUCCCAUUCCCUGCAACUCACUCCAGGCCCCCUGGAGUGGUACCUGCCCCACUCUCAGGAACAUGCUUUGAAGUUAUGCUUUCAUAGUUCCAGAGUCCACAAGAAUUAACAUACUGCCCUAUCAGAGAAAGCCUUUCUGAAGAUCUGCGGAAAAGAAGGACGUUAGGGAAAAGCCAGCCUCUGUGUAGGUAACACUCCGAGGGUGCACUUGGUCAGACACGAGUGAAUCUACACAUGGGGCAAACUUGAUGCCUUAUUCCCCCAGCCCCCAAAAUUGGCAUUUUGUCUUAAUGUGUAAGCAACAAGAUCCACAUGUUACUUUGGAGUUUUUCACUGACAACCAGCACUAGUGUCUAACACAGUGGGUUAAGAAAAGUGGGUUAACUUUUCUUGGUUUAAGAAUGUGAUGAGGCCAGGCAUAGUGGCUCACACCUGUAAUGCCAGAACUUUGGGAAGCCACGGCAGGAGGACUGCUUGAGCCCAGGAGUUUGAGGCCAGCCUGGGCAACAUAGGGAGACCCCUUCCCUAAAAAAAAUUAAAAAAUUAGCCGAGCAUGGUGGUGCAUGCCUGUAGUCCCAGCUACUCAGAAGGCUGAGGCAAGAGGAUGACUUGAGCCUGGGAGGUUGAGGCUGCAGUAAGCCAUGAUCACACUACUGCACUCCGGCCUGGGUGACACAGCAAGACCCUGUCUCAAAAAAAAAAAAAAAAGAAAAAAGAAAAAAAAAAACCCCAAAAAUCUGAUGAACACAUUAGAUUCAUGAGUCUUUUUCUUUUUUCUUUAAAAUACUUUAAGUUCUGGGAUACAUAUGCAGAAAGUGCAGGUUUGUCACAUAGGCAUACAUGUGCCAUGGUGGUUUGCUGCACCCAUCAACCCACCAUCUACAUUAGGUAUUUCUCCUAAUGCUAUCCCUCCCUUAGCCCUCCACCCCCAACAGGUCCCGGUGUGUGAUGUUCCCUUCCCUGUGUCCAUGUGUCCUCAUUGGUCAACUCCCACUUAUGAGUGAGAACAUGUGGUGUUUGGUUUUCUGUUCCUGUGUUAUUUGGCUGAGAAUGCUGGUUUCCAGCUUCAUCCAUGUCCCUGCAAAGGACAUGAACUCAUUCUUUUUUACGGCUGUGAUACAUGAGUCUUUAAACAAUGCUUAUGUGGGGUUAGGUUCUAACGUCAGCUCAAAAGGUGGAAAUCAAGGACAGUCAAAUUGACCUUGAAAAUGCCCUGGGAAGACCCCAGGCAGCACCCAACGAUCAGUGGCUGAGGCUGCUGGCUGCCCCCAGCAUUUGUUUUCCCGCUUCCUGUAGAAGGAGGGGCUGUAUGUUUUGGGGAGCAUAUGGCUGCCCAAGAGAAAGACCAUUUCCCAGCAUCUCUUGCAGCUAGGCUCAACCAGGUGACCAUAUUCUGGUCAAAGUGACAUGAGAAUGCACAGGCUGUGUCCUUGAAGGGCAGGGCAAGCCCUCUUUUUCCUCCCCACUCCCAGUGACUGGGUGAUGGCAGCACAGCGGGGUGCUGUCUGGGCCAUGGAGGCGUGUCAGAGUGACAGUUCAGAGGGGCUGGGCCCCUGCUGCUGUCAGACCAGGCCUGUUCACCUUCCAACUGUCAUGUGACAGAAAUCCACCUCCAUCUCAUUUAAGCCCACUAAUGUCUGGGUCUGUCACAGGAACCAACACAUUCCCUGACCUAUAUACACUGUUGCUCUGGGAGGCGAACACAGCAGGCUGUCCCCCAGCACUGGGGCAGCUGCUGUUCUUUGGUUGAGCAUUGGGUGAAGUUGUUGACUUGUGUUCAGGGUUCACAAAAUACCUCGCAGCUCACAAAGACUGCAGUGAGAUGCUUACACUAUGAGGGUUGGGCAAUUGAGCCUAGGAAUAUAAAAUCCUGGGAGGUGGAGGGGUUAAGGGUGCCGGACUCCUCAGCCCCACAUCUCAGCAUCUCUGGGGAAUGCAGUCUGAGAAUCGUUCAUGGGACGCAGUGUUUCCUGCUAUCCCUUGCACGGACUGCCACAUAUCCAGCUUCCUGUCCUCUUCCACAAAGCCAGAGGGGAAGGAGAGGAGGGUCUUUGACUGUGGAGCCACAGCCUGGGAAAAGGGACUGCCUUCUUUCUGGAACAUCGGCCACGGGCUGCUCCCCUCCUUUCCUGGAGCCUCAGUUUCCUCAUCUGUGCCAUGGCAGUGACAGCCCCUGCCUAGUGACUCAGCUCCCACCUGCGAAAGUGCUUUGUAAACUGCAGGUGUACAAGGUGGCAGCGAUGUUAUCGCCUGGAAUCUUUUUGGGGACCAGGAGAAGGGAGGGCUCCUGACAGUUUCCAGGAAAGGCAGGAGCAGCUGCUAUCCAGAAAUCUGCACAACAAAAUGUCUGCUAUUGGCCUAAGCCCAAGGAUGGGACAUGGUGGCCCCAGUGGACCGCUUCCAUGAAAUCUGCAAUUAUGGGGAAGUGGGGCUUAUUAAGGAAGCUGGAGGGGAAUGCGGCCCUGGCUUCUAGCAAUGCUAUAAUUAGAUUGCAGGGCCCCUUUUACUUUGCUGACGAUCCAGAAGGCCUUGGCCCGGGGCUUGUGCUGAAAUACCCUGGCCUCCUGGGCAGCGGGUGAUGGCCCAAGCCUGUCGGGGUGCAGAAGGACACUGCCUUUAUGUUGGGGGGAUGGGGUAACAACAGCUGAGGCUUGUGUAGUGCUCAUGUGGGGCCGGCGCCAUUCUCAGCCUUCACUUCAUCCUGGCAUCUGCAGGAGUCUGUCCUGUUCUCGGUUCACAGGUGAGAACACAGGCACAGAGAGGUCAAGGAGGUUGCUCAAGGUCACAUUGUGGCUAAGUGGCAAAGUAGUAAAGAAGGGGUAUGAAUGAUUGAAAUCAGGGGUCGCCAAACCACAGCUCGUUUUUCUUUUUCCUGCUACUGUUGCCUGGUCUUGUCAAUAAAGUUUUACUCAGCACAUGUGCCGAGGCAGCAUAGCAGAGGUGAAAGAGCCGGAACGGGGAAUUCUGCCACAGUGUGACCUUGUAGAAGACACUCUGGGCUUUCUAAUCUGUAAAAUGAUGGGGGUUUGCUUUAGAUCGGGGUCACUGCACUUGAUGCAAAGGGCCAGAUGGUAAAUAUUUUAGGCUUUGCAGGUCAUAAGGUCUCUGUUGCUACUCAACUCUGUUACAUGCAGCAACUAUUGACAAUAUGUAAACUAAUGGGCAUGGCUGUAUUCCAAUAAAACUUUAUUCACAAAACCAGGCAACAGCAGCACAAAAAAAAAAAAAAAAAAAGAGGGCCAUGGUUUGCCAACCCCUGAUUUUGAUCAUUCACGUCGCUUCUUUACUACUUUGCCUCACGAAAUUCAUGUUUUUAAUACUUUUCUUUAUACGAAUUCACCGGUAUUCCUUAGAGCUUAGCAACACCAUAGGUUUGAUGACCUAAACAAAUACAGGUUUGUAUUUGUGGCAUACAUGUGAAAAUAAACUUGUGAGUUAAAAAUUAAAAAGAAAAGUGUGUGGGCCACCUAAACCAUCUCCUGAAGCACAGAGGUCCGUGCUCUGUGCUUUGGGAGACAUUUUUUAGUUCAAUAUAUUUUUUUUCGAGAUGGAGUCUCACUCUGUUGUCCAGGCUGGAGAGCAGUGGCACGAUCUCGGCUCACUGCAACCUCUACCUCCCGGGUUCAAGUGAUUCUCCUGCCUCAGCCUCCCGAGUAGCUGGGACUACAGGCACGUGCCACCAUGCCCGGCUAAUUUUUUAUAUUUUUAGUAGAGAUGGGGUUUCACCAUGUUAGCCAGGAUGGUCUCCAUCUCCUGACUUUGCGAUGACCCACCUUGGCCUCCCAAAGUGCUGGGAUUACAGGCGUAAGCCACCGCGCCAGGCCUAGGUCAGUGUUUUUCAAAUCACUGAGGUGUUGAGGGGGAAGAGGAGUCUGGGUGGGGGAGGUCAGGCCUGUACCCUGACUUGGAACAAAGCAGUUUUGCUUAAUCUGUUUAAGACAUUUGUUUGGGAAACGGGUUCUGGGGCCAAAGGAGUUUGGAACCAUCUAGAAGUGGCUUCAAAAUGAACUUGAGGCCUGUGCAGUGGCUCAUGCCUGUAAUCCCAGCACUUUGGGAGGACGAGGCAGGAGGAUUAUCUGAGGUCAGGAGUUCAUGACCAGUCUGGCCAACAUGGCAAAACCUCACCUCUACUAAAGAUACAAAACUUAGCCAGGCAUAGUGGUGCAUGCCUGUAAUCUCAGCUACUUGGGAGGAUGAAGUGGGAGGACUGCUUGAACCCAGAGAGGCAGGGGCUGCAGUGAGCCAAGAUCGCGCCACUGCACUCCAGGCUGGGCGACAGAGUGAGACUCCAUCUCAAAAAAAAAAAAAAUAAAAUAAAAAAAUUAACUUGAAGCAUUGAAGCUAUGAGAUUUCCCAGGUCUGUCUACACGGGGCUGUUAGUUCCCAUGCUGACUCUUAGAUUUCUUUUUUUUUCCCUUUUUUUUUGGGAGACAGCAUCUCACUCCAUUGCCCAGGCUGGAGUGCGAUGGUGUGAUCAUGGCUCACUGCAGCCUCGACCUCCUGGGCUCAAGUGAUCCUCCCACCUCAGCCUCCUGAGUAGCUGGGACCACAGGCCCA
rnacentral:lncRNA from 1 species